UACGUAGGGGGCUAGCGUUGUCCGGAAUCAUUGGGCGUAAAGAGCGUGUAGGCGGCUCGGUAAGUCCGCUGUAAAAGUCCAGGGCUCAACCCUGGAAAGCCGGUGGAAACUGUCGGGCUAGAGUCCGGAAGAGGCGAGUGGAAUUCCUGGUGAAGCGGUGAAAUGCGCAGAUAUCAGGAGGAACACCAAUGGCGAAGGCAGCUCGCUGGGACGGUACUGACGCUGAGGAGCGAAAGCGUGGGGAGCGAACAGG
rnacentral:misc_RNA from 1 species